CCCAUGUCCAAGCCUAAAACAAACCGCAAGUCCACAAGCCAGGCAACUAGGCAAGCAAGGUGCGGCCGCGGCGACCAGGCGUGCGCAGCGGCGGCGGACAGCUACCGGAGUGGGUCAGCAGCUCCAGCGAGGAAAGGUCUCAUUUUGUUUGUGAAGGAUUUACUUGCUGCGUGGAAAGAUUGCUCGAAGAAUUACGCUAGUAAGUCCAGCAAUGUUUGGAUACAGUGUUCCUUGGUUUGUGUUUGAAGAUGAAAUCACGAGAUUAAAGUUACACAGGUUCCCAACUAGAUUGAAGUACUGAUGUAUUAAGAGUGAUUUUGUUAAAAUCGUCAUACAUGGGUUACAUCU